UACGUAGGGUGCAAGCGUUGUCCGGAAUUAUUGGGCGUAAAGAGCUCGUAGGUGGUUUGUCACGUCUGCUGUGAAAACUGGAGGCUCAACCUCCAGCCUGCAGUGGGUACGGGCAGACUAGAGUGCGGUAGGGGAGAUUGGAAUUCCUGGUGUAGCGGUGGAAUGCGCAGAUAGUCAGGAGGAACACCGAUGGCGAAGGCAGAUCUCUGGGCCGUAACUGACGCUGAGGAGCGAAAGCAUGGGGAGCGAACAGG
rnacentral:rRNA from 1 species